AUUGAACGCUGGCGGAAUGCUUUACACAUGCAAGUCGAACGGCAGCACGGACUUCGGUCUGGUGGCGAGUGGCGAACGGGUGAGUAAUACAUCGGAACGUGCCCAAUCGUGGGGGAUAACGUAGCGAAAGCUACGCUAAUACCGCAUACGAUCUAAGGAUGAAAGCGGGGGAUCGCAAGACCUUGCGCGAUUGGAGCGGCCGAUGGCAGACUAGGUAGUUGGUGGGGUAAAGGCUCACCAAGCCGACGAUCUGUAGCUGGUCUGAGAGGACGACCAGCCACACUGGGACUGAGACACGGCCCAGACUCCUACGGGAGGCAGCAGUGGGGAAUUUUGGACAAUGGGCGAAAGCCUGAUCCAGCCAUGCCGCGUGCAGGAUGAAGGCCUUCGGGUUGUAAACUGCUUUUGUACGGAACGAAAAGGUUUGGCCUAAUAAGCUGAGCUCAUGACGGUACCGUAAGAAUAAGCACCGGCUAACUACGUGCCAGCCGCCGCGGUAA
rnacentral:rRNA from 1 species